rnacentral:rRNA from 1 species
GACGAACGCUGGCGGCGUGCUUAACACAUGCAAGUCGAACGGGAAGUCCUUUUCGGAGGUACUCGAGUGGCGAACGGGUUAGUAACACGCGGUUGAUCUGCCCUUCACUCUGGGAUAAGCCUGGGAAACUGGGUCUAAUACCGGAGAGGACAGCACUUUAGUGUUUGUGUUGGAAAGUUUUUUCGGUGUAGGAUGAGCCGGGGGCCUAUUAGCUUGGUGGUGGGGUAUUGGCCUACCAAGGCGGCGACGGGUAGCCGGACUGAGAGGUUGGUCGGCCACAUUAGGACUGAGCUACGACCCAGACUACUACGGGAGGCAGCAGUGGGGAAUAUUGCACAAUGGGAGGAAGGAUGAUGCAGCGAAGCAGCGUGGGGGAUGACGGCAUUCGGGUUGUAAACUACUUUCGCCAGGGACGAAGCGUUUUGUGACGGUACCGGGAGAAGAAGCACCGGCUAACUACGU